GACGAACGCUGGCGGCGUGCUUAACACAUGCAAGUCGAACGGUGAAGGGACCAGCUUGCUGGUUCUGGAUGAGUGGCGAACGGGUGAGUAACACGUGAGUAACCUGCCCCCUUCUUCUGGAUAACCGCAUGAAAGUGUGGCUAAUACGGGAUAUUCUGGGUCUGUCGCAUGGCGGGCCCGGGAAAGAUAUUGCUUCGGUGGGGGAUGGGCUCGCGGCCUAUCAGCUUGUUGGUGGGGUGAUGGCCUACCAAGGCGGUGACGGGUAGCCGGCCUGGGAGGGUGGACGGUCACACUGGGACUGAGACACGGCCCAGACGCCUACGGGAGGCAGCAGUGGGGAAUAUUGCACAAUGGGCGCAAGCCUGAUGCAGCGACGCCGCGUGAGGGAUGGAGGCCUUCGGGUUGUAAACCUCUUUCGCCAGUGAAGCAGGCCUGCUCCUUGUGGGUGGGUUGACGGUAGCUGGAUAAGAAGCGCCGGCUAACUACGUG
rnacentral:rRNA from 1 species